rnacentral:tRNA from 2 species
GUUGACCAUGGCACUGGCCGCGGUGCGCAGGAUUGCCAAUUGUGAGUCUGGCGUUCCGGCCGCCGUGAUCAACG